rnacentral:RNase_P_RNA from 1 species
CGAGUCGGCAGGGCGGCCGCGUCGGCGGGACCUCCCGCCGCCGAGGAAAGUCCGGACUCCACAGGGCAGGGUGGUUGUUAACGGCAACCCGGGGUGACCCGCGAGACAGUGCCACAGAAAACAGACCGCCCGGUAUGCGCAAGUUGCCGGGUAAGGGUGAAACGGUGGUGUAAGAGACCACCAGCACCUCGGGUGACCGAGGUGGCUCGGUAAACCUCACCUGGAGCAAGGCCAAGAGGGCGCCGCAUGCGGUGUCUGCGCGAGCGAUCGAGGGCUGCCCGCCCGAUGCUCGCGGGUAGGCCGCUGGAGCCUGCCGGUGACGGCAGGCCGAGAUGGAUGGCCGCCACCCGGUGCGACCGGGAACAGGAUCCGGCUUACAUGCCGGCUCGUCCG